AUGAACGCUGGCGGCGUGCCUAAUACAUGCAAGUCUAGCGAACAGACGAGGAGCUUGCUCCUCUGACGUUAGCGGCGGACGGGUGAGUAACACGUGGAUAACCUACCUAUAAGACUGGGAUAACUUCGGGAAACCGGAGCUAAUACCGGAUAAUAUAUUGAACCGCAUGGUUCAAUAGUGAAAGACGGUUUUGCUGUCACUUAUAGAUGGAUCCGCGCCGCAUUAGCUAGUUGGUAAGGUAACGGCUUACCAAGGCAACGAUGCGUAGCCGACCUGAGAGGGUGAUCGGCCACACUGGAACUGAGACACGGUCCAGACUCCUACGGGAGGCAGCAGUAGGGAAUCUUCCGCAAUGGGCGAAAGCCUGACGGAGCAACGCCGCGUGAGUGAUGAAGGUCUUCGGAUCGUAAAACUCUGUUAUUAGGGAAGAACAAAUGUGUAAGUAACUAUGCACGUCUUGACGGUACCUAAUCAGAAAGCCACGGCUAACUACGUG
rnacentral:rRNA from 1 species